AGGCAGCAGUGGGGAAUAUUGGACAAUGGGCGAAAGCCUGAUCCAGCCAUGCCGCGUGCAGGAUGACGGUCCCUAUGGAUUGUAAACUGCUUUUGCACAGGAAGAAACAUCCCCGACGUGUCGGGACUUGACGGUACUGUGAGAAUAAGGAUCGGCUAACUCCGUGCCAGCAGCCGCGGUAAUACGGAGGAUCCAAGCGUUAUCCGGAAUCAUUGGGUUUAAAGGGUCCCGUAGGCGGUUUGGUAAGUCAGUGGUGAAAGCCCAUCGCUCAACGGUGGAACGGCCAUUGAUACUGCCAGACUUGAAUUACUGGGAAGUAACUAGAAUAUGUAGUGUAGCGGUGAAAUGCUUAGAGAUUACAUGGAAUACCAAUUGCGAAGGCAGGUUACUACCAGUGGAUUGACGCUGAUGGACGAAAGCGUGGGUAGCGAACAGGAUUAGAUACCCUGGUAGUCCACGCCGUAAACGAUGGAUACUAGCUGUUGGGAGUAAUCUCAGUGGCUAAGCGAAAGUGAUAAGUAUCCCACCUGGGGAGUACGAACGCAAGUUUGAAACUCAAAUGAAUUGACGGGGG
rnacentral:rRNA from 1 species